AUAACAGGCGAUGCUUAGUACGGCGAGUGAAGCGGCAAAAGCUCAAAUUUGAAAUCUGGCACCUUCGGUGUCCGAGUUGUAAUUUGAAGAAGGUAACUUUGGAGUUGGCUCUUGUCUAUGUUCCUUGGAACAGGACGUCACAGAGGGUGAGAAUCCCGUGCGAUGAGAUGCCCAAUUCUAUGUAAAGUGCUUUCGAAGAGUCGAGUUGUUUGGGAAUGCAGCUCUAAGUGGGUGGUAAAUUCCAUCUAAAGCUAAAUAUUGGCGAGAGACCGAUAGCGAACAAGUACAGUGAUGGAAAGAUGAAAAGAACUUUGAAAAGAGAGUGAAAAAGUACGUGAAAUUGUUGAAAGGGAAGGGCUUGAGAUCAGACUUGGUAUUUUGCGAUCCUUUCCUUCUUGGUUGGGUUCCUCGCAGCUUACUGGGCCAGCAUCGGUUUGGAUGGUAGGAUAAUGACUAAGGAAUGUGGCUCUACUUCGGUGGAGUGUUAUAGCCUUGGUUGAUACUGCCUGUCUAGACCGAGGACUGCGUCUUUUGACUAGGAUGUUGGCAUAAUGAUCUUAAGCCACCCGUCUAAAAAAAGGGAACAAAAAAAAAAAAUAAAAAUAAAAAAAAAG
rnacentral:rRNA from 1 species